rnacentral:misc_RNA from 1 species
GAUGAAGAACGCAGCGAAAUGCGAUAAGUAAUGUGAAUUGCAGAAUUCAGUGAAUCAUCGAAUCUUUGAACGCACAUUGCGCCCGCCAGUAUUCUGGCGGGCAGGCCUGUUCGAGCGUCAUUACAACCCUCAGGCCCCCGGGCCUGGCGUUGGGGAUCGGCGGAGCCCCCCGUGGGCACACGCCGUCCCCCAAAUGCAGUGGCGGUCCCGCCGCAGCUUCCAUCGCGUAGUAGCUAACACCUCGCGACUGGAGAGCGGCGCGGCCACGCCGUAAAACACCCAACUCUUCUGAAGUUGACCUCGAAUCAGGUAGGAAUACCCGCUGAACUUAAGCAUAUCAAUAAGCGGAGGA